rnacentral:rRNA from 1 species
UACAGAGGUCUCAAGCGUUGUUCGGAUUCAUUGGGCGUAAAGGGCGCGUAGGCGGCGGGGCAAGUCGGGUGUGAAAUCUCAGAGCUCAACUCUGAAAUGGCACUUGAUACUGCUCUGCUAGAGGACUGGAGAGGAGAUUGGAAUUCACGGUGUAGCAGUGAAAUGCGUAGAUAUCGUGAGGAAGACCGGUGGCGAAGGCGGAUCUCUGGACAGUUCCUGACGCUGAGGCGCGAAGGCCAGGGGAGCGAACGGG